CGUAUCACAUUGAAACACCGUUUUCCAUAGGAUCACCGAAGUUAAGCAACGUCGAACAGGGUCAGUGCCUACAUGGGUGACCACUUGGGAAUAUCACGUGCUGUAA